ACUAUGGAGAGUUUGAUCCUGGCUCAGGAUGAACGCUAGCGGCAGGCCUAACACAUGCAAGUCGAGGGGUAAC
rnacentral:rRNA from 1 species